rnacentral:rRNA from 1 species
CCUACGGGAGGCAGCAGUAAGGAAUAUUGGUCAAUGGAGGCAACUCUGAACCAGCCAUGCCGCGUGCAGGAAGAAGGCCCUAUGGGUCGUAAACUGCUUUUGUACCAGAGAAAACCACAGUACGUGUACUGUGUUGAUAGUAUGGUAAGAAUAAGCAUCGGCUAACUUCGUGCCAGCAGCCGCGGUAAGACGAAGGAUGCAAGCGUUAUCCGGAUUCAUUGGGUUUAAAGGGUGCGUAGGCGGACUGAUAAGUCAGUGGUGAAAUCUCUCAGCUUAACUGAGAAACUGCCAUUGAUACUGUUAGUCUAGAGUAUAGAUGACGUUGGCGGAAUAUGACAUGUAGUGGUGAAAUACUUAGAUAUGUCAUAGAACACCGAUUGCGAAGGCAGCUAACGAAACUAUAACUGACGCUGAGGCACGAAAGUGCGGGGAUCAAACAGGAUUAGAUACCCUGGUAGUCCGCACCGUAAACGAUGAUUACUCGUUGUUGGCAAUAUGACCGUCGAGCGACCGACGACGAAGACGAGUAAGUAAGUACCGUUACCGUUACGGGUAGGUUACGGACCGGACCGACGGUUACGGAACGUUAAAGGUUAAAGUUAGGUUACGGACGNGAGACGAGCGACGGACGACGACGAGGGAGGAGG